rnacentral:lncRNA from 1 species
GAAACACCGCGAAUUCACAAUGAAUCUACUGUCGGGGCCACCGGUAAUCGGCCAUAACGGCGCCUUCCGGCCGGCGUUAGACGAUGAAUCAGUAGACUGCGACGACUUCGACGUCAUUGCAACCAAAGUAGAUUGAGAGUGUAGUGGCCGAUAGGAUUCAAAGCGGACGAUGUGGUUACAAACAGUAAGGCGGUUGAUAGGGUAAAUGGGAGAUGUAAGGCGGUGUAGAGUGCGUAAAGGGUUAGAAUAGGGUAAUGGGAGCAAUCGCCGGUUGAUAAUUAGUGGAAUGCUCGUCUGGGA